GAUCAUUGGAUAACAUAUACAUUUAUAUAUGUAUAACAGAAUGGGAUCACCCUGGACAUGAUUUGGUAAAGCUUGUUUGGCCAAGUGGAGGAUGGGUGUGUCUUCCUUCACAAGGAGCCAUAAGUCCAGUUCUUUAUUUUUUGAUGACGGUGGCUGGCUUUGAACCCUACCUUAUAACUCACUGAGCCUCUCCAGCCAUUGUCUCUUUUAAUUCUAACAAUCCCUUUGGAAGAUCACUUGACGUUGUCUAGUUAUCCUCAUUUUAUUGAGAAGAAAACUCAGGUUCAAAGAAGUGAUGUGAUUUGCCAGGUAGGGAGGCACCAAGAUCCCACAGCUUAGUGUCCAGGUCUGAUGUCCUCCCUGCCAUCCUGGCCUCCUCUCCGAGGUUUGCCAGGCUUAGCCUGCGUACUCCAAGUAAGUGAUUUCUCAGCAAAGUCCCCGGCUUCUGGCUGCGACCUCUGGCUCCGGCAGAAGGCUGAGGCUGUGGGCAGAACCCAGGCAGCUGCCAGGAGCCAGGCAUUGCACAGAGCUCUGGGGAUCCCCUCUUGCCAGCACCUGUGAUGCCCGCUGUCUCCUAGCAACUGUUGGUGGCAUCAACACUAAAGAGGUGUAAGCUGGAUUCCAUUUCAGAGAUUCUGAGGUCUUCAGAAGGGGUCUGCACUUUCCCUUGCCAUUUGGGUGUCCCUGAGUCCAAGGUCAGCCUUGCAGGGCACAGGCAGGGUCUUGGCAACUCACAACCUCCCCACUGCCUCAGCCUUGGGGGGGUCCUGCCCCUGAAACAGGGCAUGGGCUCUGAGAAGCAGAGGGCAGCCUGCUCCUCCCAGGCCUUGUUGCCAGGCGCCAGGGUGUGAGGUGUCAGAUCCGGGGCACUCCUGGCAUUCUAAUCCACCAAGGGUUCCAGCAGGCGCCAAGUCUCUGGUAUCAGGGGAAAUGACCUCAGAGCUUUGGACGUGGCUGGCAGGCCACUGCCUGGACUUAAAGGUCUCCUGGCAGGCACCUGUCACCCUGUCUUGUCCUUCCUCUGCCCCAGACCUUCCACAGGGAGCCAAGGGUCUGGGAAAGAAAACAGGCUUCUAGCAUAGAGUGAGGACCCAUAAUUUCAAAGCCCCAUUUAAGAAAGAGAAGGUGGUUAUCUGGAAGAACCAGGAAGACAGUUCUCACCAGAAACUGAAUUUCUCAUCCCUUUGAUCUCAGAUUUCCAGCCUCCAGAACUGUGAGAAAUAAAUGUCUAUUGCUUAAUUCA